rnacentral:lncRNA from 1 species
AGCCUUUUUCAACUGAUUUUUAUAGUUCGUUCUUAUGUUGUACUGUUAUACCACUGUCCCAGGUUAGGGGAGGGUUGGGAUCCUGCUAACAUGUUUAACCCCGCCACAUUAUUUAUGUAUGUGCCUGUCCCAAGUCAGGAGCCUAUAAUUCAGUGGUUGUCGUUUGUUUAUGUGUUAUAUAUAUACAUAUUUGUUUUUCGUUCAUUUUUUUUUAUAUAAAUAAGGCCGUUAGUUUUCUCGUUUGAAUUGUUU